rnacentral:rRNA from 1 species
AUUGAACGCUGGCGGCAGGCCUAACACAUGCAAGUCGAACGAGUGGCGGACGGGUGAGUAAUGUCUGGGAAACUGCCUGAUGGAGGGGGAUAACUACUGGAAACGGUAGCUAAUACCGCAUACCAUCAGAUGUGCCCAGGUGGGAUUAGCUAGUUGGUGUGGUCACGGCUCACCAAGGCGACGAUCCCUAGCUGGUCUAAGAGGAGGACCAUCCACACUGUAACUGAGACACGGUCCGAACUCCUACGUGAGGCAGCAGUGGGGAAUAUUGCACAAUGGGCGCAAGCCUGAUUCAGCCAUGCCGCGGGUAUGAAGAAGGCCUUCGGGUUGUAAAGUACUUUCAGCGGGGAGGCGUUACCCGCAGAAGAAGCACCGGCUAACUCCGUGCCAGCAGCCGCGGUAAUAC